UACGGAGGGAGCUAGCGUUGUUCGGAAUUACUGGGCGUAAAGCGCGCGUAGGCGGCUUUGUAAGUUAGGGGUGAAAGCCCGGAGCUCAACUCCGGAACUGCCUUUAAAACUGCAUCGCUUGAAUCCAGGAGUGGUGAGUGGAAUUCCGAGUGUAGAGGUGAAAUUCGUAGAUAUUCGGAAGAACACCAGUGGCGAAGGCGGCUCACUGGACUGGUAUUGACGCUGAGGUGCGAAAGCGUGGGGAGCGAACAGG
rnacentral:rRNA from 1 species